rnacentral:rRNA from 1 species
GACGAACGCUGGCGGCGUGCUUAACACAUGCAAGUCGAACGGAAAGGCCCCUUUGGGGGUACUCGAGUGGCGAACGGGUGAGUAACACGUGAGUAACCUGCCCUUGACUUCGGGAUAACUUCAGGAAACUGGGGCUAAUACCGGAUAGGAAUCCUUGCUGCAUGGUGGGGGUUGGAAAGCUUCGGCGGUUUUGGAUGGACUCGCGGCUUAUCAGCUUGUUGGUGGGGUAGUGGCUUACCAAGGCUUUGACGGGUAGCCGGCCUGAGAGGGCGACCGGCCACAGUGGGACUGAGAUACGGCCCAGACUCCGACGGGAGGCAGCAGGGGGGAAUAUUGCACAAUGGGCGGAAGCCUGAUGCAGCAACGCCGCGUGCGGGAUGACGGCCUUCGGGUUGUAAACCGCUUUCAGCAGGGGCGAAGCUUGUGGUGACGGUACCUGCAGAAGAAGCACCGGCUAACUACGUG